AAAGCGAAUAGUGAAAGGUCCCGGCUCAACCGGGGAUACAUUGUUCGAACUCUCAAGCUAGAGCACAGCAGAGGUACCUGGAAUUCCCAGUGUAGGAGUGAAAUCCGUAGAUAUUGGGAGGAACACCGAUGGCGUAGGCAGGGUACUGGGCUGUUGCUGACACUAAGGCACGAAAGCGUGGGGAGCGAACGGAUUAGAUACCCGGUAGUCCACGCCGUAAACUAUGGAUGCUA
rnacentral:rRNA from 1 species